rnacentral:rRNA from 1 species
UGGGGAAUAUUGGACAAUGGGGGCAACCCUGAUCCAGCGAUGCCGCGUGUGCGAAGAAGGCCUGCGGGUUGUAAAGCACUUUGGUUGGGGAAGAAGGUUGGGCGUUGAAUAGAUGCCUGAAUUGACGUUACCCAAAGAACAAGCACCGGCUAACUUCGUGCCAGCAGCCGCGGUAAUACGAAGGGGGCUAGCGUUGUUCGGAUUUACUGGGCGUAAAGCGCGUGUAGGCGGACUUGUAAGUUGGGGGUGAAAUCCCGAGGCUCAACCCCGGAACUGCCUCCAAAACUACAAAUCUGGACCUAAGUAGAGGCAAGUGGAAUUGCGAGUGUAGAGGUGAAAUUCGUAGAUAUUCGCAGGAACACCAGUGGCGAAGGCGACUUGCUGGACUUAUGGUGACGCUGAGACGCGAAAGCGUGGGGAGCAAACAGGAUUAGAUACCCCCGUAGUCCCUGAGCGGGCUGGCAAGGCGCAU